UUUUUCAUUUCACAAAACCACACACAAUGAACAACCUUCUCUCUCUCUCUCUCUCUAAAAAAUCGAAACCCAACCUUUUGCUUCUAUCUCUGAACCCAAAUCGGUGGCGGCGAUGGCAACAACAUCCGUAGUUCCGGCGAAUCUCCGGCGAACGGUUACUUCCAACGAGGAUAUGGACUUCGAGACAACAGAAGGUGUGAAAGCCAUCGGAAGCUUCGAAGAGAUGGGGAUAAAAGACGGUUACUGUUUGUCAAGUUGUUGAUACCUCCGUCAGAGAAUUCACGCACCGCUUUUGGUCCUCUCUUUCCAGAUUCAUUGUUUUUGUGUGAUAUUGUGUUUUCUAAAGUUCGAUUUGUUUUGUCAA